rnacentral:piRNA from 2 species
UUAAGUCCUUCCAAAGAGUUACAUCCCA